UGUGUGUAUUUUUGUGUCAGUGUGUAUCUGUGUGUGUGUGUAUUUGUAAGUCAAGAUGUGUGUAUGUGCCACUGUGUGCAUCUGAGUGUGUAUCUGAGUGUGUGUAUCUGUGUGUCAAGGUGUGCGUGUGUGUGUCAGAUACAUAUACACACACACAGAUACACACUGACACAAAAAUACACACA